UAGGGACACAGAUCAAAUAUAUUUCUUAUCAUGCCACGUCUAUAUUAUCCCCAGCAUAGAUUACUAGUGGAAGUUAUGAGAAGGGAGAAAUUAUCUGUGAGUCUUAAAGACUAUCUAUGUGCUGAUGGUACCCAAAUCCACGUCUCUAUCUCUGCCUUCUCCACUGAGCUCCAGAUCAGUGUUUGGCAAACUACAGCCCAAAGAUGCCUUCACAGGUGUAUCCUGUGGACGCAGGAUAAGGAAAGAAGCUGAGCGCCUUGAUUUAGAAUUCUAGAAGAUUCCAACUGGAUGGAAGCCAGGAUAUCACAUAGCCCGAUCAGCCAACUUCACGUGAAAUAAAACUUUUUAAAUUCUGGUUCUGUUGCUUGCUCCCUGCAUUAAAUCAAAUGGCUUAAUUGAUUUGUGGA